GCCGGGCAUGGUGGCUCAUGCCUGUAAUCCUAGCACUUUGGGAGGCCGAGGCAGGUGGAUCACCUGAGGUCAGGAGUUUGAGACCAGCCUGGCCAACAUGGUGAAACCCCGUCUCUA
rnacentral:sRNA from 1 species